AGAGACCCGACAAUUGUUAAGGAAUUAGUUAACCCAUGGAGAGAUGUUUAGACUUCGUUUUUAGGAUCUUCUACUUGGAUCUACCAUCUCACUAUUUUCUUUAGUUAUUCACUAGAGCACAAUGUUGAUAUGGAACAUAUCGGUUCCUUUAUUCUUUCCCGACCCGAUGCCUUCCUUGGCUGUCAUUUGCAUAUAACUCGCUAAUGCUGCUGGGAAUGCCCUUGGCGGAUUCUAUCUUCUCUUGGUGAAGUAACUUGCUGACAGUCCUCCAAUAAAUGACCUUGCCUUCUCUGCGUGCCUGCCCAAAAUGACCCGGAGACGGUGUUCCAAACUGGGAAUUAGAGCUCAGUUACAUUAUAUACUAGGAUAGGAAAGGGCUCUCCGUUGAUGACCCGAAAGUGAAAGUUUUCGUUGGCUGGCAGCAUGGGAAGGGGCUUUAUUUACUGAACCUACUUGCUUGACCGCGGGAGAGAGACAAUGGGACUACUUACCUUCCUUCCUUCCAAAACCUCUAAACCAGAUGUAUGGUACCAAUUCAUACUUAGCUGCGGUAACUGCCGACUCUUACUAUGGAGUGGAAUCCGUAACUGGCUACAUCUUCCGAAGACCGAGCAAGCGUAACGGAGUCAUCCGUAACUGAUUCAACCGAGAAUGGCAGAUAGGAAGUGACUAAGCAGAUCGAGUUGCGGGGUUUGGUUUUCACUGGCUAAGGCAGAUCCCUGAUACUACUAAUCCGAAGUGACUCUAUGAGUCAAAGAAGAUGAAGCCUUAACAGCAACUGACUCGUAAAGAAGAUGAAGCCUUAACAGCAACUGACUCGGGGUUAUACCUAAACUAUUAACUAUGCGGUUGGGUCCCAGUCCUAACUUUCUUGUCUGCGCUGCGCGAACUACUUUCUUUCGGUUUAUUAUCUUUCUUUUUUGUAAGCAGAAGCGUUCAAGAUCUCUCGCGGUAAAGGUUCUUCCUCUGUGAGCUUUUCUCUUUACGUGGUCCAAGCCAAACUUAUAUAUACGCGUCUAUAGUUUAGGAUCACAACUAUAAAGACAGAUUUAGAGCAUCACCCACUCUUUUCUAUUCCACCUCUUUCUUUGGAAGUUUGUUCUUGAUUCUUUCUUCAAAACGGCUAUUACUGCGCUUUAAUCACAAGUUAUAGCUGCUGCUUCAAUGUUUUUUUUAUUCAAAUGAACUUUCUUGAACAAUCCCCAUGAAUAGGAUAAACCCCUUAUUCCAUGAUAUUUCCAUAAGAUUCCACUAAUAAGUAGAUGGCUAUGUCUUAUCCCGGAUCUAGAAGUAACCAGCUCUUUUUAUAGCCUAUAGUUUCACCAAACAAAAGCAAAGGCUUCUUUUCCUUUUUCUCUUAGAAAGUGGUUCCACACAAGUUGCAAGUAACAUCAAGUCACUCAUUACAGAAUCCGUGCUAAUUAUGGUAUGUAGAGGAGAGUGCACCAUCCAUUUUUCCUUUGCGUCGUUGCGAAGUCAAAGAACUAACACGUUCCGAGGCGACUGUGCUACAAAGUGAUUGCUGGAGCUGGAGCAGUUGCUUGUUCAAUAAGUGAGUAGUUUCUUGCUUAUUUGUGCUUGAGAAAAUCAUUUAGCGUUCGUUCAUACUGUCUAUAGAAAAUGUAACAAAACAACCUUCACUGAGAAGAGCGGCACUCAUAUCAUAUAGAAGUUAUGCCUGCUUGGAGCAGUUUUUGACUUUCAAAUGAGCAGGGCUCUGGUCUAUGGGAGUGAGGGCAGAGUAAACACUUUUCUUUCCUCCCCCGUCCCUUUCGAGACUGAAGUAAACAAAUACUCAAUUGGUUUUUAAGGCAUCAGAGAAUUACUGGAAUUUCAUAUAUGCUAUUAUAGAGAAUAAGCAAUGGCAUACGCUAUAAGCUAUCGAACUGUGCCUAAAUUCCUUCUCAAUCGCAGCUGUAUACUGAAGUAAAGUAAAUGGCUUUGCUUGCAUUAAAGAAAGAAGUAGGCUCAUCUGCUUUUGUUAAGCAAAGAAGAAAUAGAGAACAGUGAUGCUAACAACCAGAAUCCAAUCAGGGAGUUAAAGAGGUGAGCUAGUCAUAAAGUCAGAAUGCAACUGGAUAGACUCGGAAUGACACUCGCCAACCUAACCUAACUAGUAUGUAAACCCAGUAAGUUAACUAAGUAAGUCAAAACUAAGUCAGUCAACCUGCAUACCCUAGUAACAGAGGAAUUCCACAAGCCUACCCGAGUAACUGAAUGAUGAGUUGCGGUAAACGGGGUCAGUCUAAUCUAAGCGUUGCAUUCUUGAUUCUUUCUAUUAUUAAUAUGAGCUUUCCUAGCCUGCCUAAACGAUAACAACAUACCUUUUCUUUAUUGGAGUUUAAGGGGAAGGAAGGGGUGCGUGCGAAAGAUAUAAGUAGAGAAAACAAAUCUUAUGUGGAAUCUGAAACUGCCUAUGAUAUAAUAAUGGGGACCCACAAAUAGCUGGAAACGGGCUUCGUCCCACAGACAAGUAAACAGGCUUGCUUACCAAGUAAACAGGCUUGCUUACUAAGUACUUGUAAUGUAACUCCCACUCGAUCGAAGGUCAGGGGCAGGGAUCAAAAGGGCAGCAAAGCACUAGCUUACAGGGAAGAACAGUGCGUAAAGAAAUAUGAGACACUAUAGACAAGGGAAUGCUACUGGACAAUGCCACGGACACUUACUUUUGAUAUAGUCACUUCAUAAUUAGUCCUCUUACUUUUAGUCCAGCGCUAUUACAGGUAAGAGUCAAUCAAAACGGAAAGCAACAUAGGCCUUUAUUCAGAGAGAUUCUCUAUGCUGGCAACAGCUACUCCAAUUACCCCCCGUAUAAACUCCAACAUAUACAGUUUGUCAAGCAGGGCGAUGAUCGUUAUCUCCGAAAAGGGGACAGAAAAAGCUCGCGGCGUCUAGUGAUUCCCUCAUCUCCGGACAGGGGCAGAAUGAUCUAUCUAUUAUAGAAUCUAAACCCUUAAACCCUAUCUCCCCGAACUAUUGGUUUCCUUUGCCCUACUAGGGACUGCCGGAAAAGUGAUGGAAGAAGUCCAUUUAUACGGGCCACCUCUGUCCUAUUGCGAGAGGAUACUAUGCUUAUAAAUAAGCUGCUAUAUCCCCUUGCCUGCUACUCAAGUUCAAUAAAAAGAAACUUCUCGAUUUCGAACUGAUGUGAGGCUUUAAGGAGUGGGAACUAAAACAGCUCUUCUGGUCCAGCCCACCAACUCCCGCUCUAACUGUAUAGAAAAGGGAUGAUAUAACGGAUGGAAUCAAACCCCAAAAGAAAGGAAACUCAAAGGGAAAACACGUCUACUGCAAGAAAACUCAAAUCGACGCAAAGUAAUGAGUUAGGAUUGAAGAUAGGAUUGGCUGGCAGGAAAGGCUUUUCUUAGGACUUCCGCUAGAUGACCUGCAACUGAACCUUUGAUUGGCCCUAGGAGUGCAUUUGUAUGGCUUGAAACUCCAACAGGUCCUAUGGGGCUAUAGAUAGUGACUCCAACAGAAACAGCAUCUAAGCUUUCUCCAAUGAUGGGAGAGAAGAGAGAAGAAAUGAAAGAGAAAUCAUGCCACUUCACUUGAAGAAGAUUUAGAAGGCUUACUUGAGACCGCCUUACACAAACAAGGGGGAGCUUAUGAAUGAAAGCAAACUGGAACAGUGAUGAGCAGUCGAUCUAGCACUUUCCCAGUACUUUAUAAGGAAAGGACAUAAAAACGAGGGGUUUGAGUCUGUGGGGUGGGUAGCCUACACAACAGGGAAAGAAAAGAGGGACUAUUCGGAGGAGACAGCGCCUAUCAGUAGGAAAGACGGGAAGAGCCUAUUCAUAAGAAGGAUAGAGCCAAUGAAUAGGAUUUACUGACGGGGGAAGAGAAGAGCCUAUGAAUAAGAAGGAUAGAUCCUAUGAAUAAGAAGGGAAUUGGAUUUAUUGUACGACCCGAUAUAUACGACAACAUUGUAGACUGACUGACCCCUGUAUCCAUCAUUAAGGAAGAAGAAAGAGGCUGGCUUCUAAUUGACUACUUAAGGAAGAAGAAAGAGGCUGGCUUCUAAUUGACUACUUAAGGAAGAAGAGGCUUUGUUUACUACCCGCAGCAAGAACUCACUACAGCGCAACAGAGUAACGUCUUUUGUUGCUUGUUGAGUCAGAGCAGUGAGCAAGUCCUGAGUGUCUAAUGAAAGUGUUAGUGCAGCCAAGGGAACAAGGAAUGAUUCAAACGGUUCUCAAAAACUCGCACAAACAAGAAGCUUUCUUUUCUCAUAUCUUAUAUAUGCUUUCUUUUCUCAUAUCUUAUAUAUACUAUGGAUGUAAUAUCUUAUAUAUACAAUGGAUGAUGUUCUUAUGUAUGAUUUCUUGAGUUUAUUCAAUUAUUUCUAAUUGUAGUUUAUUCAAGUAGAUGUUAAUGUGAAUGAACCAUAACUAUGUAGACCUAUUCUUAAUAGAUUGAUUCCUACCUAAGAUAUAAUAGAAUAUAGACUUCCUAUAGAAGCUACAAGUGCCGAAUUCGUACUUUCUUUGCUAAUACUUUUCUAGUAGUAUUUUCUAGUAGUAUUUAGACUCCUAGUAUGAGUAUGUGAAUAAAUCUAGAAUAUGGUCAAAGUCAGAAAAGCCAAAGUGUCUUUUGGGUCCCAAUUCCAAUAAUAUCCCCAUGACUCAUUAGCCCAUACUGCUCCACUAAGAAUGCCUAUGGUGAAAAAAGAAACCCUAAACACUAAUGAAACGAUCACUCGAACAGGCCAGGACAUUAUGAUUCUUAUGCUCACUUUCUAACUCCCCUUGAAGACCCGCUUUCCUAUUCUUCUUUUUUCACAUGAUCCUAAUUCUUUUCUCGCUUCUGAUCAAUAGGAAUAUGCUUCCUCACCAAAUCCAGCUUAAGAUCCCACUUCUUCUCUUUCUACUGCUUAGAUUCGGCUUGCUGCUUCCUUUUUCACAGCUGAUGCUCUGGUCUACUUUCGAACUAUAACAUAUGCACAAUAAACAGAUUCCAUAAAUGAUGAAACAAGGCACUCUUAAGAUUCCAUUCAUGAUUUGUUUUCCUCUGCGCUAACUGGAAAGGGUGUUUCAGUCAUCCCUUGUUUGAUCAGUGUUGUCAACUGGAAUAGAAUGUCCUGUUCCUAUUUACGGUGUAAUCGGUUCGGUUCAUCAAGGAGAGUUAG
rnacentral:lncRNA from 1 species